AAAAUGCGAUAAGUAAUGUGAAUUGCAGAAUUCAGUGAAUCAUCGAAUCUUUGAACGCACAUUGCGCCCGCCAGUAUUCUGGCGGGCAUGCCUGUCUGAGCGUCAUUUCAACCCUCGGGACCCCGUUCGCGGGACCCGGCGUUGGGGAUCAGCCCGAAGCCCCCCGGGGCGGGCGGCUGGCCCCGAAAUCUAGUGGCGGUCCCCCCAGCGACCUCCUCUGCGCAGUAGUAACUCACCUCGCAGCUGGACAGCGGGAGGGCCAAGCCGUAAAACCCCCAACUUCUCAAAGGUUGACCUCAGAUCAGGUAGGAAUACCCGCUGAACUUAAGC
rnacentral:misc_RNA from 1 species